rnacentral:lncRNA from 1 species
CGCUUUUCUAACCCACUCCCUCGCUGUGCCCAGCUCCCGGUUGUGCAGCUACUAUCUGACCCUAUGCAGACGUUUUGCCCCGAAGGAGCACGCGUUUCCCAUGGGUCCCUCUGCCCUCUGGGAUACGGACUUCACAUGGUCUCUUUGGAAAAGGAUCAGCCCCGGGGAUGUAUGCUGUGGGACAGCCGUGGGAUGGUGCUUUUCUCACCAUGCAGUCCCUUUAGAUUUGGGCGUGAUAACCAACCUGCACAUUGGACAUUUGGCUUGUAUUCCCAUAUCUUCUUCCUGCUUUUCCGAAGGAUAUGAUCUUAAAUUGUCCUGGCUUGAGCAGUAAAGGAUAAAUUUGUUCACUGUCUGACUCGUCAUCUCACCGUUGUGAUGGAAAAAUGCUCGCUUAAUAUAAACCCUUUUUAUUCUACUAAAACCUUUGAAUACAAGAUCUGUUGUGAUU